UGAUUGGCUCAGAUUGGAAGAAUAGUGGGUAGACCUCAAGGUAGCUUAGCAUUGAGGUCUACCCACUGUUUGUCCAUCAGAGCCGAUCA
rnacentral:pre_miRNA from 1 species